ensembl:lincRNA H09G03.4 ncRNA
GUGCAGCCCAUACUUCUUCUUUCUAAAUUAUAAUUCAAAUUUCAUCUGAAAUUCCAGAGUUUGGAGAACAAUGGGAUGAAGACGGUUCAGGAAAUUAAUGGAAAAGCAAUGUCGGAACAUUGACAUUUGGCACAAAUCGAGAAGACAGUUGUGGAAUGGUGCCGGACACGAAAAAUCGCGUCACAAUUCUAAAAGCACGAAAAAUCUGCACAAUCUGCCUGAAAACCGACAUCAAGGGACACAACUGCAAAAGAGAACAAUGCAAGUAUUGCGGCUUGCAGACUCAUCACACCUCUAUAUGCUAUAGGACCAAGAGCCAAAAGAAGAACUGA